GCCUCCCAAAUGUCACCUUGAGCGCUGUCCGCGAUCCCAAAAAGCACUGUUAAAGAGAAGCGGGGAUACACUGGGGUCCUUGCGUGGGGGCCGCCUGGGAGACCAUGCACCGCCCGGGAGUCUCUCCGGGCAGGGUCGGGGAGGGACUUUUUUGCCGGUGGCCGUGGAGGAAUCGUCCCGUUGAGCAAUGACCCCGGUGACGCGGCUGAGGGCUAUAAAAGCAAAAGUUGUGACCAAGGGCUGUGAACCCGCCUGGGGAUGAGGCCUGGUCUUGUGGAACUGAACUUAGCUCGACGGGGCUGACCGCUCUGGCCCAGGGUGGUGGCAGUGCUCCUUUUGGACUUUUCUCUAGGUUUGGCGCUAAACUCUUCUUGUGAGCUCACUCCACCCCUUCUUCCUCCCUUUAACUUAUCCAUUCACUUAAAACAUUACCUGGUCAUCUGGUAAGCCCGGGACAGUAAGCCGAGUGGCUGUUGGAGUCGGUAUUGUUGGUAAUGGUGGAGGAAGAGAGGCCUUCCCGCUGAGGCUGGGGUGGGGCGGAUCGGUGUUGCUUGCCUGCAGAGAGGGUGGGGAGUGAAUGUGCACCCUUGGGUGGGCCUGCAGCCAUCCAGCUGAAAGUUACAAAAAUGCUUCAUGGACCGUGGUUUGUUACUAUAGUGUUCCUCAUGGCGAGCAGAUGGAACCGGGAGACAUGGAGUCCCUGGCCAGUGUGAGUCCUAGCAUUGCAGGAGGGGAGACCCUGGAGGAGAGAGCCCGCCUCAAUUGAUGCCUGCAGAUUGAAUUUCCAGAGGCUUAGGAGGAGGAAGUUCUCCAAUGUUCUGUUUCCAGGCCUUGCUCAGGAAGCCCUGUAUUCAGGAGGCUACCAUUUAAAGUUUGCAGAUGAGCUUAUGGGGGGCAAUCUUAAAAAGUCCACAGCAGAUGCAUCCGGCUCGAGGGGCCAUCAGCUUUGAAUAAAUGCUUGUUCCAGAGCCCAUGAAUGCCAGCAGGCACCCCUCCUUUCCUGGGGUAAAGGUUUUCAGAUGCUGCAUCUUCUAAAUUGAGCCUCCGGUCAUACUAGUUUUGUGCUUGGAACCUUGCUUCAAGAAGAUCCCUAAGCUGUAGAACAUUUUAACGUUGAUGCCACAACGCAGAUUGAUGCCUUGUAGAUGGAGCUUGCAGAUGGAGCCCCGUGACCUCUCACCUACCCACCUGUUUGCCUGCCUUCUUGUGCGUUUCUCGGAGAAGUUCUUAGCCUGAUGAAAUAACUUGGGGCGUUGAAGAGCUGUUUAAUUUUAAAUGCCUUAGACUGGGGAUAUAUUAGAGGAAGCAGAUUGUCAAAUUAAGGGUGUCAUUGUGUUGUGCUAAACGCUGGGAGGGUACAAGUUGGUCAUUCCUAAAUCUGUGUGUGAGAAAUGGCAGGUCUAGUUUGGGCAUUGUGAUUGCAUUGCAGAUUACUAGGAGAAGGGAAUGGUGGGUACACCGGUAGUGCUCUUUUGUUCUUGCUUCGUUUUUUUAAACUUGAACUUUACUUCGUUAGAUUUCAUAAUACUUUCUUGGCAUUCUAGUAAGAGGACCCUGAGGUGGGAGUUGUGGGGGACGGGGAGAAGGGGACAGCUUGGCACCGGUCCCGUGGGCGUUGCAGUGUGGGGGAUGGGGGUAUGCAGCUUGGCACUGGUACUGGGAGGGAUGAGGGUGAAGAAGGGGAGAGGGUUGGUUAGAGAUACAGUGUGGGUGGUGGGGGUGGUAGGAAAUGCAGGUUGAAGGGAAUUCUCUGGGGCUUUGGGGAAUUUAGUGCGUGGGUGAGCCAAGAAAAUACUAAUUAAUAAUAGUAAGUUGUUAGUGUUGGUUAAGUUGUUGCUUGGAAGUGAGAAGUUGCUUAGAAACUUUCCAAAGUGCUUAGAACUUUAAGUGCAAACAGACAAACUAACAAACAAAAAUUGUUUUGCUUUGCUACAAGGUGGGGAAGACUGAAGAAGUGUUAACUGAAAACAGGUGACACAGAGUCACCAGUUUUCCGAGAACCAAAGGGAGGGGUGUGUGAUGCCAUCUCACAGGCAGGGGAAAUGUCUUUACCAGCUUCCUCCUGGUGGCCAAGACAGCCUGUUUCAGAGGGUUGUUUUGUUUGGGGUGUGGGUGUUAUCAAGUGAAUUAGUCACUUGAAAGAUGGGCGUCAGACUUGCAUACGCAGCAGAUCAGCAUCCUUCGCUGCCCCUUAGCAACUUAGGUGGUUGAUUUGAAACUGUGAAGGUGUGAUUUUUUCAGGAGCUGGAAGUCUUAGAAAAGCCUUGUAAAUGCCUAUAUUGUGGGCUUUUAACGUAUUUAAGGGACCACUUAAGACGAGAUUAGAUGGGCUCUUCUGGAUUUGUUCCUCAUUUGUCACAGGUGUCUUGUGAUUGAAAAUCAUGAGCGAAGUGAAAUUGCAUUGAAUUUCAAGGGAAUUUAGUAUGUAAAUCGUGCCUUAGAAACACAUCUGUUGUCUUUUCUGUGUUUGGUCGAUAUUAAUAAUGGCAAAAUUUUUGCCUAUCUAGUAUCUUCAAAUUGUAGUCUUUGUAACAACCAAAUAACCUUUUGUGGUCACUGUAAAAUUAAUAUUUGGUAGACAGAAUCCAUGUACCUUUGCUAAGGUUAGAAUGAAUAAUUUAUUGUAUUUUUAAUUUGAAUGUUUGUGCUUUUUAAAUGAGCCAAGACUAGAGGGGAAACUAUCACCUAAAAUCAGUUUGGAAAACAAGACCUAAAAAGGGAAGGGGAUGGGGAUUGUGGGGAGAGAGUGGGCGAGGUGCCUUUACUACAUGUGUGAUCUGAAAACCCUGCUUGGUUCUGAGCUGCGUCUAUUGAAUUGGUAAAGUAAUACCAAUGGCUUUUUAUCAUUUCCUUCUUCCCUUUAAGUUUCACUUGAAAUUUUAAAAAUCAUGGUUAUUUUUAUCGUUGGGAUCUUUCUGUCUUCUGGGUUCCAUUUUUUAAAUGUUUAAAAAUAUGUUGACAUGGUAGUUCAGUUCUUAACCAAUGACUUGGGGAUGAUGCAAACAAUUACUGUCGUUGGGAUUUAGAGUGUAUUAGUCACGCAUGUAUGGGGAAGUAGUCUCGGGUAUGCUGUUGUGAAAUUGAAACUGUAAAAGUAGAUGGUUGAAAGUACUGGUAUGUUGCUCUGUAUGGUAAGAACUAAUUCUGUUACGUCAUGUACAUAAUUACUAAUCACUUUUCUUCCCCUUUACAGCACAAAUAAAGUUUGAGUUCUAAACUCAUUAGAAUUGUUGUAUUGCUAUGUUACAUUUCUCGACCCCUAUCACAUUGCCUUCAUAACGACUUUGGAUGUAUCUUCAUAUUGUAGAUUUAGGUCUAGAUUUGCUAGCUCCAAGUAAUUAAGGCCAUGUAGGAGAGCAUGGUAACCACAGAUAGAACUGGUAUUAUCCCAAGUGGUCUGCAGACUGCUGAGUGGGGAUGGGAUCUGCUCUCUGUUGAGAGUUGGUAAUCAUUGGUUUGAAAUGUGAUGAAACCACUCAAGCCAAUGAAGGUGGGUGUGUAGGUGGGGAGUACUUUGCCAUAAUAUUUUAAAACAUUACCUGGUUAGAGUUCUAAGUGGUACUUAUUUUUGUUUGGUUAGGGGAAAGCCUGAAUAAAAACAGAAAUGGACACAUAAUAUGCAUAUUCCAUAGUCUUUGGGAGGCUGGAAUGUGCCUGGGAUUUGGGUCUAAGUGUAUGCGUAAUUCUUACCUCACUAAAGAAUUUGCCUUGUUUUUUUCCUUUUGGUGAGUGACUAAAACGUCUGGGCUUCCCUGUGUGCGUGCUACAGUAAGCAAGCAGAGGCUGUGCAAAGGUGUGAGCAGGAUCACGUGGAAUCUGGAGGAUACAUCUUGGCUUGCAAACUGCCUCUGUCUCCUGGGUGGGACUGUUCUGUCCUUGCACUGCUGUUCUGUGUUACCUCUUGGGGUGUAAGGUUUUGCUUACAGGAGACAAACUUUGGGCGUAGAAUGGAAGCCACUGCCAGCCUCUGUGCUGAGAAGGAAGGUGCUUGUUUCAAAGGGAGCAGCAAGGGAGGCUUGUUCUACUCACCUGGGCCUGUUUGCCUGAGAAGGGGAGAUAAGGGCUGAACUGGGACUAGCCAGGGGGACCAACACAAAUGGUGGGGGAUCAUGACCUGAAGGAUUCUUUCCUUCCCAUGAGCUGCAGGGCUGGUUGCCGUCCUUGCAACUGUGUCUUAUUUGCCUGUGCCGUUAUAUCUUGGUGACCCCUCCACGUGUACACUACUGACAAACGGGUGGAGUGCUGGGGAGAAGUCACUGUGCCGCCCACCUAGUAAACCUUCUGUCUGUGCUCAUGGCAUCUCCAAGAUGGGGCACUGCUGUGUGCAGAAUCCAGGGUCCUCUUUCUGCUUGCAACUCCUUUCCCUGGAUGCCCCAGAAACAAUCCAGGCCUCCUUUCCUAUCUUACCCCUUUGCUUUGCUUUUUACCCCAGCACCUCUAUAACCGCCUUCUCUUCUUUUCAGAACUCCUUGUUUCUCGUCCUGUUUUUUAUGAUUACAAAACUCUUGCUUCCACCCUGGAAGAUAACUGCUAUAGAUGCCUGUAUGUAAAUGGUGCUGUCUCCAGCAACUGGCAUGCUGAAGAAGAAUUGAUUCACGGGGUAUAAAUGUUGGGGAUUGGAAGUGGGGAUGAAAUGGCACUUGUUGAUACAGGAGCAGAGAGGUGAGGCCGACUGCUGAAGACAGCUCGCCACCCUCCUUGCCUCCACUCCAAUCCAGGGGCUGGGGCCACAUUCUUUGCCUUCAUUUAUCCUCAGAUCAGGUGAGAUCGACAGGAGGUGUUGAUGGCAGUGCCAGCAAUUAUUGCUAAUCCGUUUGCAUCCUUAUGCAUAGAUCUGAAUUCAGACUUUGUGAAUUUCCAGAGGUGUGGGUAAUAUAAUAGAAUUCAGUGAGUGGGCAUGGCUGAUCUUGUGCAAAUUAAAAGUUAUGGGGCAUAAGAAUAGCAAAAGUUGAACUUCUUUUAAAAAGGAAAGUACCCUGAGAGCCAGUAUUGGUUGAGGCUCUUCAGUAUGCCCAGGUUGGCAGCACUGAGAACCGCAGGAACGGCCUGUUGUUACAAAAAGGAGAUUGACUCAGCUGCCCUUGGUGCAUCUGACUGACUAUGACUGCUGAGAGAUUCCAAGGACCCUUAAUGCCAGGGCUAACCUCUCCAUGUGCAGUGAGACCUCUGGAGGAAGUGUCAUCCUCUGGCUUUGUGUGGUACUCAUUAUGGUGCAGUGCGGGCAUGAAAUGAAGACACCCAAAUAGGCUUACAGAUACGAUAUGUUUUAAAUGUUCGUAUUUAACAAAAACAUACUGACACUGUUUGGAAAUGGCAACAGGAAGAUAGCAAAAUGAAUACUAACAUUACGAAAAGAUGAACAGGUACAUGUUCCAAGGCAGGUGGCUGUGAACUUCCUCUGAGUGAAGGCAUCCCCUCCAGCACCUUUCAGCCUGCUAGUUAGGACGACCCGCCGCCACCCUCCAGGACCUCCAGCCCUGCACUGCCUUUCCUCUCUUUUAAAUAAUUCUUCAUUGAGUUCUAAUAUGUAAAAAAAAAAAGUUUACUGUAAAGUUUGCAAAUAAGGAAAUUUUUUUUAAAAGUCCUCAGUAAUCUUACCAGUAACAAUUGUUAUGGGCACAUUUGCUUUUGGAAGAUUUCUUUUGUAUGCAUGGGAUAAGUACAUUUUUAAACAAAAAUGGGAUUAUGCCAUAAAUUCUAUUUUGUGACUUUAAUAUAUAGUGAACACCUUUUUUAAUGAUGACAGGAUGUUCCCUUGCAUGGCUGUAUCAAUUUAAACAAUCUUGUUUCAAUGGGCAUACAGGGUAUUUUCUAGUUUUUUUUUCCUCUUAGAAAAUAAUACUUGCGAUGACUUUCCUUGUAGCUCAGACUUUUUCACGUCUGUUGUUAUCUCUUUGGGAAUGCUGAAUACAUACAUUUCGAGAAGGAAAUGACUGUUAAACUCUUAAGACUUCAGGUUCAUAUUGCUAAACUGCCCAGCAGGGAGGGAUUUUUUCAAUUAGUGUUCUCACUGGUGAGGCAAACCUGAUGCCUUCCCCUCUUCCUCAGAACCGGCUUUAUCACAUUGAAAACCUUUGCUCCUCCGACGGAUCGAGUCUGCUUUCCCUCUGGAUGUGAGCAUUGCUUUGUCUGCUGGUGACUGAACAUCUCUACCUUGUGUCAAUUGGCCAUUUGUGGUGUGUGUGUGUGUGCGUGUGUGUGUGUGUGUGUGUGUAUGAUUUUCUAAUUCCUAGUCAUUUUUCUAUUGAUUGUUUUGCAAAAGCCAUUUACAUCUUAAGGAUAUUGAUAAUCUUUUGUUAUAUUUGAUGCAAAUAUUUUUUUCCAGUUUAUAGGUUGCCUUUUAAUUUUGUGUUUCAGGUAGAUAAAAGUUAAACGAUUUUCUUAGGUUAGUUUAUCACUGUGGUUUCUGAACUUGUUAUGUGUAGAUCUUUUCCACCCCAAGAGUACAUAAAUAUUAAUCCAUACUUUCUUAUGGAACUUGUAUGGUUUCGUUUUUUACAUUUAAACCUUCUUCCCCGUGGUGUGUGUUGUGGAAUCUGUGUUUGUGUGAGGAGGGGCAUGGUGCUCUCAGAACCCACCUCCUGUGGCCAGAGAGCCCUGUCCUGUGAGGGUGGUUGUCACAGUGGCAGGGUUCAAUUCAGAAGACCUUGAGGGCAGGCUGAUGUUUCCUGAAUGGGCCCCUGGUUGUUGCUUGUCCCUGACUCUCCAUUUCCCCAUCUGAGUGGAUUUGGACCUAAUAGGGCACUGGAGCUGGUUCGAAUCCUGACUGGACUACUUGGCAACUUUAUGUCUGGGAGCAAGUUACUUAACCUCCCCAAGCCUGUGUCUGUGAAAUGCGGGUAAAUGAAUGUAGAUGUUUGGCAGCAGCUACUCCUUGUUGAGCUCUCACAGUGAACUCUCCUGCCUCUGCCCUCCUUCCCCGCCUCCCCUGGUGCCUAGCGUCAGGUCUAGCCACUUCCUCCUGGGCCCCUCUCCCUUUUCUGUGGCUGGCUGCCUGCCCGCCUGGCGCUGGACCUUUCAUGUAACGGGAAUCAGCAUGUAUAUUCUGGUCUGGUCUGUUUCUACACUUAAUUUUGUUUCCAGUAGUAUUUCCCUGUACCGGCAGAGUUCACAAACACAUUUGAAGAGGCUUUUUCUCAGGAUUCUUAACCUUCCCAAAGGAAGUCCCAUGGAUGGGUUUCUAGAAGUCUAUAAAUGCUCUGAAAUUGUAUUUUUCUGUGGAAAGCAUAACUUUCAUCUGCUUGUUCGUGCUCAAAAAAGAUCAUGAAUGAAUGAUUGCAUGAUUUUAUGCCAUUGUGCUUAUACUAAAGGAUAUGUAGCCCAUCUCUUGAGCUGUUAAACUGUUUUGACUACUUUAAAUCGUGCAGCUGUGAGCAUCUCUGUAAAUUUAGUGUACACAUGUAUCCCCUGGAGUGGCAUUGCCUCGGCAGUGAGCACUUAUGGUUUUAUAACUCUCUUCACAGACUCAAAUGACUCCAGAAAGCUACACUUCCUGUUGUGAGUAUAUGAUAUCCAUUUCCCUACAUAGCCACUAACAUCAGGUUUUUACAAUUUUAUUUAUUUCUUGCUACUUUAAGAAAUUUUUGUGGUGAAAUACAUAUAAUAGAAGUUGACUAUCUGAAUCAUUUUUAAGUAUACAUUCAGUAGUGUUAAGUAUGUCGCCAUUGUUGUACAACCAAUCUCCAGAACUUUUUCAUCUUGCAAAACAAACUCUGUACCCAUUAAAUAACAUUAAACAUUCCAUUCCCUCCAGCCUCAGCAACCCCAUUCUACUUUCUGUUUCUGUGAGUUUGACUAUUCCAAGCACUUCAUAUCAGUUAAAUCAUGAAGUAUUUGUCUGUCUGUGACUGGCUUAUUUCUCUGAGCACAGUGUCCUCGAGAUGCGUCUAUGUUGUAGCAUAUGUCAGAAUUUCCUUCCUUUUUAAAAGAUCCAAAUAAUAUUCUUAUUUUAUAUCUUUUUUUUAUCCAUUCAUCCAUUAGUGGACACUUGGGUUGCUUUUGGCUAUUGUAAAUAAUGGUGCUAUGUACAAAUAUCUAUAUUAUUGUAUUUACAAGUAUAAUGCUGUAAUGUACACACAUCUUUUUGAGAUCCUACCUUCAGUUCUUUUGAGUAUAUAGCCAGAAGUGGUAUUACUAAAUCUUACGAUAUUUCUAUUUUUAAUUUAUUGAGGAACCACUGUAGUUUUUCAUAGCAACUGCACCAUUUUACGUUCUCACCAAGAGUGCACAAGGGUUCCGAGGUUCCCACAUCCUCCCCAACACUUGUUAUUUUCUGCUUUUUUUAGAUUGCAGCCAUCAUAGUGGGUGUGAGGUGACAUUUCAUUGUGGUUUUGAUUUGCAUUUCCCUAAUGAGGAGUGAUGCUGAGCAUCUUUUCAUAUGCUUACUGGUCAUUUGUAUGUUGUCUUUGGAAAAAUGUCUAUUCAAGUCCUUUGACUAUUUUAAAAAUUGGGUUAUUAGAGUUAUCGUUGUUGUUGACUUGUAGGAGUUUCUUUCUAUAUUCUGGAUAUUAAUCCCCUAUCAGAUAUAUGAUUUGCAAAUAUCUUCUCUUAUUCCAUAAGGUUACUUUUUCACUUUGUUGAUUGUGUUCUUUGAUGUAUAGAAGUUUUUAGUUUUGAAAUAGUCUAAUUUAUCUGUUUUUACUUUUGUGGUCUGUGCUUUUGGUGUCAUAUCCAAGAAAUCCUUGCCAAAUCCAACGUUAUAAGGUACUUUUAAGGUAUUUUAGUUGUCUUAGUCUAUAUUUCUGUACUCACCUUUCUUUAUCCACUCAUCAGUUGAUGGGCAUGUAGGUUGGUUCCAUAUCUUUGCAAUUCUGAAUUGUGCUAUGAUCAGGUGUCUUUUUAGUAUAAUGAUUUACUCUCCUUUGGGUAGAUACCCAGUAGUGGGAUUGCUGGAUCGAAUGGUUUUUAUAAUUUUCUAUUUUACCACAGUUUCUCUCUGCAUUUUUCCUCUUUGACCACUAACCAUGUGAAAUUCUCAUAUUGACCUUUAUAAUGAUCAUGAACUCUUAGUAUCAUUGGGAAGGCCACAUUUGCCACUUAUGAUUGUAAACCUUAUCCUCCAUUUUUCCUGUUAUUGUUGGUGCAAAAAGCACCUAUUAUACCAGGACUUUAAAAAUCAGUCUGAUAAGUCUUUGAUAAGUCUAAUAAUAAUAACUGAUAAGUCCAUUGAAUUUGCUUCUGAUUACUUUUUCUUUAGUAGCUAAACAUGUAUGUACUCCUAUGAUUACAAUGAACACUCCUCUCCAUUUAAAUUAAUUAUUUACAUUGAUGAAAUAGCAAAAUGUUAAUGACUAAAUACUGUCUUGGUUUUUUCGUUCCAGGUCAGUCAAUAUUAACUUCUUAUAAUUUUCUUUUUUUUCUUUAUGUGUGUGUGUGUGUGUAUUUUUUUUUUUUUAAUUUCAAUGGCUUUUGGGGUACAAAUGGCUUUUGGUCAUAUAGAUGAAUUCUACAGUAGUGAAGUCUGAGAUUUUACUGCACCGGUCACCUGAGUAGUGUACAUUGUACCCAAUAUGUGGUUUUUUAUACCUUGCCCCCCUCUUACCCUCCCCACUUUGAGUCUCUAGUGUCCAUUAUGUCACUCUGUAUACCUUUUUGUACCCAUAAGUUAGCUCUCACUUAUAAGUGAGAACACACAGUAUUUGGUUUUCCAUUCCUGAGUUGCUUCACUUAGAAUAAUAUCCUCCAGCUCCAUCCAAAAUUGCUGCAAAAAAAAAAAAAACCACAAACAUUAUUUUGUUCUUUUUUAUUGCUAAGUCAUAUUCCAUGGUGUAGAGAUACCACAUUUUAUUUAUCCACUCACUGGUUGAUGGGUUGGUUCCACAUCUUUGCAAUUGUGACUUGUACUGCCAUCAAGUGUCUUUCUGGUAUAAUGACUUCUUUUCCUUUGGGUAGAUACCCAGGAGUGGGAUUGCUAGAUCAAAUGGUUCUUAACAUUUUCUCUCUGGAUCUAUUUCUGGAAAUUUUAGGCUCCAGUUUUUGUUGUUGUUGUUAAUAAAAUGCAAUGGAAUGUAAUGAUCAUCACUUUUCAUUAUGCUUUAAAAUCUGGUAAAUGGAGGCUAGAACACUCCUGUAAGGCAAGAAUAUUCUCUCUGUUGGAACUCAAAUACACAGAACUGGGUAAAUCUCAAUCUUAAUCUUUGAUUCAGGACACAACAUGGCUCUCUUUUACUUGCUUUCUUUAAUUGUUUUUUAAUAAUGUGGUAAGCAUUUCUGAAUCUCCUAUCCAAUACAAAAACUAGGACAAUACAGACAGUAACUCCUAUGGUUACAAUGAACACUCCUCUCCACUUAAAUUAAUUAUUUACACUGAUGAAAUUGAAAUAGCAAAAUUUUAAUGACUAAAUACUGUCUUUGAUUUUUUGUUCCAGGUCUGUCAAUAUUAACUUCUUAUAAUUUUCUUUUUUUUUCUUUAUGUGUGUGUGUGUGUGUGUAUAUAUAUAUAUUUAAUUUCAAUGGCUUUUGGGGUACAAAUGGCUUUUGGUCAUAUAUAUGAGUUCUACAGUAGUGAAGUCUGAGAUUUUACUACACCUUCCACUUAUGUGGUCCCACACCACCCGCCUCCCCUGCCGCCUCCUGCCACCCCCUAGGCCAAGGUAAUAAUCAUCCUGAAUCCUGGGUUUAUCUCUCACUUGCUUUCUUUUCAUAUAAUUUUGCAAAAGAAUCUGAUCUAAAUGUGUUUUUCAGAGUAUAUAUUUAUAUUUUAGCUGUUCUUAGAGAAAAUUUAUUAUUUUGCAUGUAAUCUUAUGGAACAUUCUCAUUUAAUACCAUGGUAAGAUUCAGCCCUUGCCCAGGGGAUAGUUCAUUUAGUUUGUUUACUGGAUAGAGCUCAUCAUGUGACUAUACCUCAGUUAGUUUAUCAGUUCUCCCAUCCAUGGUGACUAGGUUGCCUCUCAGCCUCUCAACAACACUGUUUCUCAGUGUCCUUGUAGAAGUGAUAUGUGGGUGUUUUCUCCUUACACAGAGUUGAAAGGUGACGACAACAACGUUGGCACUACCAAUCCCCCACCCUCCAGAGGGGUAACCAGUGUUACCAGUUUGCUGUGUUUCCUGCUACACCUCGCCUUAUUCACUUCCAUUUGUAUCUGAAAAACGUGUUGCAUGGUUUCUUUUCUAUAGAAGUGGUAAAAUGCUAUUGUGUCCUGUACAUUAUUGAUUACUUUUUUUCAUUUAACAGUAGGGAGAUGCCUGGGAGUACACAGAGAACUGCCCUCAUUGUUUUCAACUUCUGCACUGUAUGUCUGUGAGUUUAGCCAUUCUGCUGUUAAUGGAAAUUUACAGUAUUCUAAUCUUUUGAUAUUACAAACAGUUCUGUGCGAUCAUCGUCAUACACAACCCCUUGUGCACAAUGCAUGAGUGUUUCUCAGGGUAGGUACCAAGAAGUGAAAUUCCUGGGUCAUAGGGCGUGAGUCCGACAUUUUUCUCCAUUCUGCCCUGUUGCCCUCCAGAGUGGGUGUCCAGCUUUGCAUACCUAAGUAUGAGAGUAUCUGUUGUUCAUAUCCUCUACGACGCUCCAUAUAUGAAACUUAAGUUUCUGCUAGUUGCCAUCUUUGAUCUAUCAUGUAUGCAGUGACCUACUAAGACUGUAAUUGGUACAGUAGAUUCUUGUCAUCUGUGUGUGAAUUUAGCAUUCAUGGGCUUAAUGCUGACAAGGCCCCCAGGGUCCAAGACAUAUAAUCAUGUAUAAUUUUGUCAAGGUAUAAUUUUUUAAAUUGCUUUUGUCAUGUGUCUGCUGGUGAUGCCCAACCCAGUGCUCUGCACCCAGGUCACACUGUGGCUUUGUCCUCUGCUUAUGCCUGCAUUGCAGCAACUGUCCUGAAGAGACCAAAAUUAUGCAGAUUUAGGUAAGUCCAUGGCUAAUGUUAUUAUAUUAUGUGCUAUUGUAAUGGAUGGGGCUGUGGAGUGUAUGAAUUUAUAAAUCACUGGUCUUGUAAUUAAAAUUCAAACACUAUAGAAAAAGGCCAUGUAGAAGAUAAAAGUUCCUCUAUAAUCCCGGACCCCUAAGAUAACUACUAAUGACAACUUCAUUUAUAUUCCUUCAGACAUUUUCUGGCUGUGGAUGUACUAAAAUGUAUCCUAUUAUUCUCUGCCCUAAAAUGGAAUCAUACAAGGUGUACUGUUAUUUUUAUGGCUCUAUAACAUGUCAUAUUGUACGUGUUGGUAUGGUCAUUUUAACCAUUUUUCUAGUGAUGGCUUUGAGGUUAUUUGCAGUUUCCUAGCCAUCUCAAAGUGUGCUGCGGGGAUCUCUUUUGCAUCCCUCUGGGUGCAGAGCUGAGGCACCCAGAGGCAGUGUCCAGAGGAGGCAGCAUCUGUAGGUGUCUUCACCUGCUCUGGCUCUUGGCACAUCUGGUUGGUGACACUGUUUUGUGAGAUGGGUUGAAAGCACGUGCUGCCAAAAUAGAAUAAUGUUGGUCCUCUCCUCAUGUGCCGUGGAACUGGGGUAAAACUGCGUAGUGGCUGCAGCUGCCUGUCCAUACCGGAAUCGAGUAUAACACGGUGCCUGGCUUAGCACAAAACAGUAGUGGGUCCUGCAGGCCCCAGAGUCUAAUUCCUGGUAUUCUUUCCCCUACACAGAUUAAAUAAACCAAAAACAAACUAUUCUAGGAAAGCGUCUGUGACAUUUGUAAAAAGUGGUAUUUAAUGAUCUUUUAUUCACUUGUCUGUUUAGUUUGUUGAAAUCUUAAGUGGCAUCCUGGUCUGGGAAGGAGUGCUGUCUGCGCCUGCCCUCCGCUGGGCACAGCGUGGCUGCUUCAGGGGCUAAGCACACACUUUCUGUCUUCUAAAGGGCCGCCACAUGCCAGGAGCUCAGGUGUGAGCCCGGCUCUGGCUCUUACCUCAUAGGGUCACUCAUAGGGGCACAGGGAGCAGAACAUUGUACACAGCGAGGCACCACCCGGCUUGGCAUCUGCCUCGGUGGACUUACUACCUCUAGAAGGAAAUACCUGAGUUCCUCUGGCCUCAGCUCCUAGAGUGACUGGUGUGCUGUCCCUGUUACUCUUCUGUCAAGGUGACAACUGUGUGACCCAUCAUCUGUGUGUCAAAGCAAGGCCCUGCCUGGGCCUCUGCUCCUGUGCUGACCCCAAAGGCAAAUGCUUUGCUAGUUUCCUUCCAGUUAAUUUCACCUAUGAAUAGAUGUGUGAAAACUGUUCAAAGCCAUACCUGCACAUGUUUGAACUUCAAACCCUGUGGGUGAUUCAGUGGCAUCUUUCUCUAACCCCCAGCCUCCCUUCCCACAGAGGCCACCGUCAUGGCCAGUUGCUGCAGUUUCUUUCCAGAGAACCUGUGUAUGUGUAAAGCUGUACAGGCGUGGGUACACCACACAGCCUGUCUUGCACUGUGGACUGUUGAGUUACUAGUACAUCUAGAGUGUGUUUUGACUGCCCCCAUUUCUGAGGCCUUGUAAGGCCAGAGCUUUGUUGCUUCAUCGGCAGGUUGGGACUUAGAUGGCCGUGAAUGUUUCCUCUCUGCUGCUGCAGUAAGUAAGUGCCCGCACCAUAGUGUGUUUGGAGGCUGAAGUUGAAGCGAGGCUGUGAGGGGAGAUGGACGUGUGAGGAGGGAUGAUGGGGCUUGAGCAAAGUGGGGGAGGGGGCAAAGGCAGUUGGCCCAACACAUUCCCCACCCCUUUGAGAGGUCUGAGGCCUGCAGACCUGGCUCGGAGCCCACCUGGUAGUCCUCAGACUGUGUGUGUGUGUGUGUGUGUGUGUGUGUGUGUGUGUGUGUGUGUGUGUGUGUGUGUGUAAAAGAGAGAAGUUGUGGAGAAAUGGGGGGCUGAUUCUGCUCAGAUUCAUCAGGAUGAGUAGAAGGCACCCAGCUCUCACCCUGGCCUGACAUGUGUGUCCCUGAGCAGGUUACAGUCCUCUCUGAGCCUCUGCUUCCCAUCUGGACCCUGCUGGGCAGGGCUUCUGAGCUCCUUAGCACUAGCAGGAGGGGCUCCAGGGGCCCUCCCUCCAUGGCAGCCAGGACAGGACUCUCAAAUGAGGACAGCAGAGCUCGUGGGGGGCUCCCACGGACCCGCCGUGGGCCCAGGGGAGGCAGAGCCUGAGCCAACAGCAGUGGUGCUGUGGACCGUGGAUCCUGAGGGUGGCCUGGGGCAAGUACCGGCUGAGGGUCCAGGUGGGCUUUGUGUACCUUUGGGUCCUGGGGCCCUGGUGACUUGGACUCCAGGUUAGAGUCAAGUGACAGGAGAAAGGCUGGUGGGGCCCUGUGCUUCCGACUUCAUUUCGAGUGAUGGCAGUUCCCAGGAAGGAAUCCACAGCUGACGGUGGCUGACAGAUCAGAGAAUGGAAGGCGAGGCAGGCGGGCGUCUGCGUGACCUCAGGUGCUUGGGGCCCAGCAGACCCAGAGAACCAUUUCCACUAGGCCAGGGUGCCGGAAGUGUCCACAGGUCUUAGAUUCCCUGUUCAGAUGAAAAGAUUUGUGCCUUUAAUGAUAAAAGUGAUCUGCAUAGAGUCAAAAAUUCAAGCCAUGGGUAUAAAAUGCAAGUAAAAUCCCUGCCCUCACCUAUCCCACCCUACUACACAGAGAUGUCCUCUCGAGUUUCCUAGACUCACUCUGGAAAUUUCUGUAUACACACAGAAGCUUGUGCCUCUGCUCGUGAAGGCAGAGGGAGGGAGAGCUGAAGGGCCAGCACCUUCUCACCUGUGGGCCCCCUCAGUGCUCGGUCCCAGAGCAUGCAGGACUGUGCCUCGUGUUCAGUUUGCUGGUCUGACUUCAUGCUCCUUGGGCAGGAUAUGCAUGUGCCAUGCUAGGAGACAUGUGGAUGUGAAGCUGGGGGACAAUGUCCCCUGGCUAUGCCUUUACAAGGGAAGUAAGGAAGGUAGGAGGUGAGCCUGGGAGGGAGGGAGGGAGGCGCGGAGCCGCCGCAGGUGUUUCUUUUACUGAGUGCAGCCCAUGGCCGCACUCAGGUUUUGCUUUUCACCUUCCCAUCUGUG
rnacentral:lncRNA from 1 species